UAAUUGCCAAAAAGCUCAAAAACUUGCUAUGCAGUUUGAAAGCGCGCACAAUUUCAAUUUAGGACUUGCUAGUCCAACAAAAUAUCAGGUUGAAUGGAUGAAACAAUUUUGUGUCAUUUUAAUUUUCAAUAAUAGACCAUUUCCGUCAGACCUAACACCCCUGUUUUGUAUUUUCUCCCGAAAGAUAAUAACUUCAAUAAUAAUAACCCUUGUGACGCCUAUCCACCUAUUCAUUGCAUCAUUGCAAAAAAAAAUCUUCUACACACUCACUUUGCCUUUGAGUCGCAUGACCGUCAUAUCAAAAGUUUCUAAAUUAUAAGUGAAAAGUAGGUAUAUCAAUAAUAUCGACUUGUUCCUUUCCUUCAAUCCCACAAUAAUAUUAUGUUAUUAUAGACGACCAUUCUAAACACUUGAUUCCUCUUAAAUGCUAUGAAACCCGAACAGGUGGAAAAAGAUCAUAAUUUGGUGUUCUAAAGUAAUUACUGACGAUCACAAUUAGCUAUUGGUUUGUUGGAGAUUAGAGAUAAAAGAUCGAAAAUAAUAUCAGAAAAACUAAUAUGGAGAAGUAUUGAACAAUAACUUGUAAAGAUAUUAUAAGAUCAAAACAAUAUCUGGCAAGUUCAUUAAUUGACAAACAAAUCAAGAACAAAAUAUGAUCUGACAGAUGGCGAAGAAUAAAAAUAAUCAAAAAGUCGGAGAACAGGAUCGAACCCUAGACCUUCAGAUCUCUACAUCUCUGCUAACCAUUCAGCUCAAUUUCCACGUUAUAUAAAGAGUUACGAAGAUUCAUUCAUUCAUUAUCUUUAUUAAGGAGAUUUUCAGCCCUAUGGCUGGUUCAUCUCCGCAAAGUUACGAAGAUGUCCAUCAAUUAUGUUAUACAAUUUUCAUGAUUUUUAAACCUCCCCUCUCCCCUUAAUAACAUUUUUGUAUGAAAAUAAAAAUUGUAUAAGGUGUAAGAAUUCUCCAAGUCUGCAUAUCUCCAUAUUUCGUACGUAAUUUAUGGACGGCCAAUGCUAAUUCAUUGCUUAACUAGUGGUUCCGGCGCAAUGUGCUGUAAUAGAGGUGAGGAGAUGCUUUUGUGUAAUACACAUAUGUUUGAAUGUGUUAGUGCACCGCUUGUGUUUUAACGCAGCAACCCUUUGCAUAUUGACUAUGUGUGACGUCAUACAGUUUGUUAUCGAACGUUUCUUGGGAUUCGUUGCUAGCAACCCUUCUGUUACCAAGGACGAAAUCUUGAACGAAGGGAAUAGAGGCAUGGAAAACAAGGACCUUACGGAACUGAUGGAAGUGCUGGAAUUAUUCCACUUUUCACGAAUACUUUGUGUGAGCUAACAAGUUUAUGGCCGUAGUGCUGAAAGUCUCUAUAAUUGUAAAAGUUUUUUAACUCGCAUAUUUCUCAGGAAUACAGAUAUUCAAUGAUUAAGGUCCUGAAUAAACUUUCAAAAAAUUUA